rfam:Asian citrus Psyllid, Diaphorina citri - Florida Strain, whole genome shotgun sequence.
GGAUCCGCGCACGGUCCCGUGCCUAGGCACCCCGCGGAGCUUCCUCGCUGCGAGACCCCGGGUUCUGUUGGGCGCGGGGUUCACGCCCCGCGUUCGCACCGGGCGCUUCUCUUCGGCGGCCAUGUAACGGUCAGCUCAGAACUGGCACGGACAAGGGGAAUCCGACUGUCUAAUUAAAACAAAGCAUUGCGAUGGCCCCAAAGGGUGCCUGACGCAAUGUGAUUUCUGCCCAGUGCUCUGAAUGUCAACGUGAAGAAAUUCAAGCAAGCGCGGGUAAACGGCAGGAGUAACUAUGACUCUUUUAAGGUAGCCAAAUGCCUCGUCAUCUAAUUAGUGACGCGCAUGAAUGGAUUAACGAGAUUCCCAAUCUGUCCCUAUCUACUAUCUAGCGAAACCACAGCCAGGGGAACGGUCCUGGAAAAAUUAGCGGGGAAAGAAGACCCUGACCGGCCCGGCAGACCCGGUAAGCCCUGACGAGUAGGAGGGCGCAGUGGUGUGCGCAGAAGGGACCGAGCCGUAAGGCCGCCUGGAGCCGCCACUGGUGCAGAUCUUGGUGGUAGUAGCAAAUACUCGAGUGAGAGCCCUGGAGGGCUGAUGUGGAGAAGGGUUCCUUGUGAACAGCCGUUGCACAAGGCUCAGUCGAUCCUAAGUCCUCGCCAAACAGCGAUGCUAUAAGCAGUGGUUCGUGUUGAUUUUGUGUUGAUUGUGUUUUCGCAAAAGAAAAACAACAACAAAAAUUGUAACCGCCACGGACGAAAGGGGACGCGGUCCCCAUUCCGCUACCUGGACGCGGAACCGCUCUCAUGUUUCGUGGCCCUCGUCCGACGUGUCGCCGCUUCAACGCGCGCGCACGCUCGGCGUAGGCCUCGUCGGGGUAACCCGAAAAGACCCGGAGAAGCUGAGGGGAGCUCCGGGGAGAGUUAUCUUUUCUGUAUCAGCGUUGUAGCUGCCUGGAAUCCUCUAGCAGGGAGAUAGGGAGCCGAACGCGGAGAGCACCGCAGUUGCUGCGGUGUCCGGAGCCUCCCCCUCGGACCGUGAAAAUCCGGGAGAGGGCCACGCGAAGUCUCGCGCCAGGUCGUACUCAUAUCCGAAUCAGGUCUCCGAGGUGAAGAGCCUCUAGUCGUAUAGACUAAUGUAGGUAAGGGAAGUCGGCAAAAUCGAUCCGUAACUUCGGAAUAAGGAUUGGCUCUGAGGAACGUGGUCCGUCGGGCUUGGUCGGGAAGCGGGUUAGCGCCUACGAGCCGGGCCUGUGCGAGGUGAAGUCCGGUUGCCGCGCGGCUUUCGUGCGCGCGCGCGCCCGGGCGCCUUCGGGUGUCCGGUGUGCGUGUCGUGCGGAGUCGCCGGUCGGUUUCGGAUCCGAGCACGGUCCCGUGCCUAGGCACCCCGCGGAGCUUCCUCGCUGCGAGACCCCGGGUUCUGUUGGGCGCGGGGUUCACGCCCCGCGUUCGCACCGGGCGCUUCUCUUCGGCGGCCAUGUAACGGUCAGCUCAGAACUGGCACGGACAAGGGGAAUCCGACUGUCUAAUUAAAACAAAGCAUUGCGAUGGCCCCAAAGGGUGCCUGACGCAAUGUGAUUUCUGCCCAGUGCUCUGAAUGUCAACGUGAAGAAAUUCAAGCAAGCGCGGGUAAACGGCAGGAGUAACUAUGACUCUUUUAAGGUAGCCAAAUGCCUCGUCAUCUAAUUAGUGACGCGCAUGAAUGGAUUAACGAGAUUCCCAAUCUGUACCUAUCUACUAUCUAGCGAAACCACAGCCAGGGGAACGGUCCUGGAAAAAUUAGCGGGGAAAGAAGACCCUGUUGAGCUUGACUCCAGUCUGGCCCUGUACGGAGAAAUGAGAGGUGUAGAAUAAGUGGGAAGAUAAUUAACUCGGUUUUUUAUCGACAAGUGAAAUACCCACCUACUCGUUAUUGUUUCCGGUUACGCUUACUUGAUUAAGUAGAACGUGCUAUCGAUUGCCUUAGCAUUAUACGGAUAUAUUCUACUCACUAUCUUAUGGUAUUGGGCAUUUGAUGCAAGCUUCUUAUCAAAUAUCACGAGCUUUGGUUAUAUAAUUGUAAACAAGUUGGAGUAAACAAAAUAGGUUGCAUUUCGGCUGUAACCUUAUAAAAAGUUUUAAUUUGGUAUAACGUCCAAUCACUUUCAGGUCAUGAUCCAAUUCAAGGACAUUGCCAGGUGGGGAAUUUGGACUGGGGCGGGUACAUUCUCAAAAUAAUAACCCGGAGGUGUCCCGAAGGCCAGCUCAGUGCCGGGACAGAAACCACACAUAGAGCAAAAAGGGGCCAAAUGACUGACUGCAUCUCGAUGUUCAGUACACAUAGAGACAGCCAAGAAGCCUCUGGCCCUAUCGGAUCCUUUUGCGUUUAAAGUUUUUAGCAAGAGGUGUCAGAAAAUUACCAUAGGAGAUAACUGGCUUGUGGCGGCCAAUGUCGUUCAUAGCGACGUCGCCUUUUUUGGAUCCUUCGAUUGUCGGCUCUCCUAUCAUUGUGAAGCAAAUUAUCACCAAGCGUUGGAUUUGUUCAACCCCAUUCAAGGGAACGUGAGCCUGACGGCUUUAGACCGUCGCUGAGACAGGUUAGUUUUACCCUACUAAUGACAAAACGUUGGUUACGCACAGCAUUCCUGCGGUAGUACGAGAGGAACCGCCCAGGUACGGCCAAUGCGUACGAGAUACUUGUUCGAUGAGAAACAGUCCCGGUAUUUAUGUACGUCCGCUUGGAUUUAUGCCUGAACGCCUCUAAGUCGCUAUCGCGUGCUGGACUCGCUAACAGAUAAAAAUGGCGGCGGCAAUUGCAUGUGUAUGAGUAACAAUAAAAAUGGGGCAAUUGCAUUUGUAUGGCUUCAAAAACCAUUUAAAGUUUAUAAAUUUAUUUUAUAAACGAUGGAUUACUUGAUGGCCAAUGUUUAAAUGUAAACAUUAGCAAAUCAGAGAGGAAAGUGAUAUCACCUGGUGCCGGCGCGCUAGUUAUAAGAAAAAACAUUAUUUAAUAAUGCAAUGUGCUUAGAAUCAAAUUGUAAAUCGACUUUUGUAACAGGCAAGGUGUCGUAAGUAGUUGAGCAGCUGCCAUACUGCGAUCUACUGAAUGUAUCCUGUUGCUUGAUCUGUUCGA